rnacentral:lncRNA from 1 species
UUUUUUAACUUGAAUUCCUUUAUAGUUCCCAGCAUGGCAGCAUAUCCCUAGAAAGGACAGCACUGACUGCAGGCUCAAUGGAACAGAGAGGCAUGCUAUGAUCUACAGAGAGAUGCUGAGGCUUAGAGGACAAACGACCACCUGAGACACCAUAAGUGGACUGAUGUUUCUCUGAGUUCUCAUCAGCUUUCAUAAUGAAAUUCAACAGGCCCAAAUACAUAAAGAGGAGGCCAGAGUCCCUUCCUAUAACAAAAUACUCCAUCUCCCCAAACUCUUAUCUAGUAUAUAAUUUCAAUCUAAUAAUCUUCCUCAUUCUCUCUGGGAAUUUAUCAUUUAAUCUACCUUAGCUUUUCCUAAUAGCUAACCACCAUAUUCCCUGAAGCUAGUAACUGAGGCCUUGCCACACAUCACAGGUGAGUUUACCCAAAGCCCCCUCUCUAAUAAACCUGAAAGGGUAAACCAGGGGGCAAAGUUCUAUGU